rnacentral:rRNA from 1 species
GAUGAACGCUGGCGGCGUGCCUAAUACAUGCAAGUCGAGCGGUAACACUUCGGGUGACGAGCGGCGGACGGCUGAGUAACGCGUGGGAAUGUACCCCAAAGUGAGGGAUAACUGCUCGAAAGAGUAGCUAAUACCGCAUGUGGUCUACGGAUUAAAGCUUCGGCGCUUUGGGAACAGCCUGCGUAAGAUUAGCUUGUUGGUGAGGUAACGGCUAACCAAGGCGACGAUCUUUAGCUGGUCUGAGAGGAUGAUCAGCCAGACUGGGACUGAGAACGGCCCAGACUCCUACGGGAGGCAGCAGUAGGGAAUUUCCCACAAUGGACGAAAGUCUGAUGGAGCAACGCCGCGUGCAGGAUGAAUGCCUUCGGGUUGUAAACUGCUUUUAUAUGUGACGAUUAUGACGGUAGCAUAUGAAUAAGGAUCGGCUAAUUCCGUGCCAGCAGCCGCCGUAA